rnacentral:rRNA from 1 species
GACGAACGCUGGCGGCGUGCUUAACACGUGCAAGUCGAACGGAAAGGCCCUGCUUUUGUGGGGUGCUCGAGUGGCGAACGGGUGAGUAACACGUGAGUAACCUGCCCUUGACUUUGGGAUAACUUCAGGAAACUGGGGCUAAUACCGGAUAGGAGCUCCUGCUGCAUGGUGGGGGUUGGAAAGUUUCGGCGGUUGGGGAUGGACUCGCGGCUUAUCAGCUUGUUGGUGGGGUAGUGGCUUACCAAGGCUUUGACGGGUAGCCGGCCUGAGAGGGUGACCGGCCACAUUGGGACUGAGAUACGGCCCAGACUCCUACGGGAGGCAGCAGUGGGGAAUAUGGCACAAUGGGCGGAAGCCUGAUGCAGCAACGCCGCGUGCGGGAUGACGGCCUUCGGGUUGUAAACCGCUUUCGCCUGUGACGAAGCGUGAGUGACGGUAAUGGGUAAGAAGCACCGGCUAACUACGUG